ACCUUGGCCCCCCCACCAAAACACGUAAAAUUCUUUCAUUUUUCUGUUAUUUUCGAAAAUCUUAAAAAGCGAAGAAGAAUUGGAUUACGACUUAGAUGUACAAGAUAACAAUGAAAUUCAGUUUGCUGAACAGAGUAUUGAUGAAAUCAUUGAUUCUGUAUGUGAAGAACUAAAAAAUGAAAAUCUAAAUGAAGAGCCAGUAGUAAGUAAGCCGGUAUGGGGAGACAUAACAAAUGACGUCAUCACUGGCGCAUCCUUAUCUUAUCAAUGUAAACAAGUCAUAAAGAUAAGGUGUCAUGUUUCUAAACAGAUAAUAAAGAUAAGGUAUCGCCAACGUCUUAAGCAUUUAUCUUGUAAACAAUUAAGAUAAAUAUGGAUUGUUACUGACGUCAUGUACACCUCUUAUGACGUCAUAAGAUAAUGAGAUUUUUAUGUAUGAUGAGUUUGUAGUACUUUUAUAGAAAUAUUGUGGUCCUAAAAAGGACCGAUUUUAAUUGAUAAAUAAAAGUCUUAGAAUGAGA